rnacentral:tRNA from 1 species
CUCGAUCCGGGAGGGUCUCAGUUGGGCGACACUACCAGUGUCGCCCAAACCAAUUUGCCCCAGAUCAUUCCGGGGUUCUGGAC